GACGAACGCUGGCGGCGUGCUUAACACAUGCAAGUCGAACGGAAAGGCCCUGCUUUUGUGGGGUGCUCGAGUGGCGAACGGGUGAGUAACACGUGAGUAACCUGCCCUUGACUUAGGGAUAACUUCAGGAGACUGGGGCUAAUACCGGAUAGGAGCUCCUGCUGCAUGGUGGGGGUUGGAAAGUUUCGGCGGUUGGGGAUGGACUCGCGGCUUAUCAGCUUGUUGGUGGGGUAGUGGCUUACCAAGGCUUUGACGGGUAGCCGGCCUGAGAGGGUGACCGGCCACAUUGGGACUGAGAUACGGCCCAGACUCCUACGGGAGGCAGCAGUGGGGAAUAUUGCACAAUGGGCGGAAGCCUGAUGCAGCAACGCCGCGUGCGGGAUGACGGCCUUCGGGUUGUAAACCGCUUUCGCCUGUGACGAAGCGUGAGUGACGGUAAUGGGUAAAGAAGCACCGGCUAACUACGUG
rnacentral:rRNA from 1 species